rnacentral:rRNA from 1 species
GCACAAGCGGUGGAGCAUGUGGUUAAUUCGAAGCAACGCGAAGAACCUUACCAGGUCUUGACAUCCCCUGACCGCGUAUGAAAGUACGUUUUCACCUUCGGGAGACAGGGAGACAGGUGGUGCAUGGUUGUCGUCAGCUCGUGUCGUGAGAUGUUGGGUUAAGUCCCGCAACGAGCGCAACCCCUACGUUUAGUUGCUAACGCGUGAAGGCGAGCACUCUAGACGAACUGCCGUUGACAAAACGGAGGAAGGUGGGAUGACGUCAAAUCAUCAUGCCCCUUAUGUUCUGGGCUACACACGUGCUACAAUGGCCGGUACAGACGGACGCAAAGCCGCGAGGCGGAGCAAAUCCGAAAAAGCCGGUCUCAGUUCGGAUUGCAGGCUGCAAUUCGCCUGCAUGAAGUCGGAAUCGCUAGUAAUCGCAGGUCAGCAUACUGCGGUGAAUACGUUCCCGGGCCUU